GCCAGCCGCCGCGGUAACACCGGCGGCCCGAGUGAUGAUCGUGAUUAUGGGUCUAAAGGGUCCGUAGCCGGUUGGUCAGUCCUCCGGGAAAUCUGAUAGUUCAACUAUUAGGCUUUCGGGGGAUACUGCCAGACUUGGAACCGGGAGAGGUAAGAGGUACUACAGGGGUAGGAGUGAAAUCUUGUAAUCCCUGUGGGACCACCUGUGGCGAAGGCGUCUUACCAGAACGGGUUCGACGGUGAGGGACGAAAGCUGGGGGCACGAACCGGAUUAGAUACCCGGGUAGUCCCAGCCGUAAACGAUGCUCGCUAGGUGUCAGGCAUGGCGCGACCGCGUCUGGUGCCGCAGGGAAGCCGUGAAGCGAGCCACCUGGGAAGUACGGCCGCAAGGCUGAAACUUAAAGGAAUUGGCGGGGGAGCACAACAACGGGUGGAGCCCUGCGGUUUAAUUGGACUCAACGCCGGACAACUCACCGGGGGCGACAGCAAUAUGUAGGCCAAGCUGAAGACUUUGCCUGAAUCGCUGAGAAGAGGUGCAUGG
rnacentral:rRNA from 1 species